rnacentral:rRNA from 1 species
GAUGAACGCUGGCGGCGUGCCUAAUACAUGCAAGUCGAGCGAACAGAUAAGGAGCUUGCUCCUUUGACGUUAGCGGCGGACGGGUGAGUAACGCGUGGGUAACCUACCUAUAAGACUGGAAUAACUCCGGGAAACCGGGGCUAAUGCCGGAUAACAUUUAGAACCGCAUGGUUCUAAAGUGAAAGAUGGUUUUGCUAUCACUUAUAGAUGGACCCGCGCCGUAUUAGCUAGUUGGUAAGGUAACGGCUUACCAAGGCAACGAUACGUAGCCGACCUGAGAGGGUGAUCGGCCACACUGGAACUGAGACACGGUCCAGACUCCUACGGGAGGCAGCAGUAGGGAAUCUUCCGCAAUGGGCGAAAGCCUGACGGAGCAACGCCGCGUGAGUGAUGAAGGUCUUCGGAUCGUAAAACUCUGUUAUUAGGGAAGAACAAAUGUGUAAGUAACUGUGCACGUCUUGACGGUACCUAAUCAGAAAGCCACGGCUAACUACGUG